UACAGAGGGUGCAAGCGUUAAUCGGAAUGACUGGGCGUAAAGGGCACGUAGGCGGCAAGAUGUGUUAUAGGUGAAAUCCCCGGGCUUAACCUGGGAAGGUCCUAUAAAACUGUCUUGCUAGAAUAUAGGAGAGGUAAGUGGAAUUUCCGGUGUAGCGGUGAAAUGCGUAGAUAUCGGAAAGAACACCAGUGGCGAAGGCGACUUACUGGUCUAAUAUUGACGCUGAGGUGCGAAAGCGUGGGGAGCAAAC
rnacentral:rRNA from 1 species